GGCCUCCUUAGCUCAGCUGGUCAGAGCGCCGCUCUUGUAAAGCGAAGGUCGUCGGUUCGAAUCCGACAGGGGGCUCCCA
rnacentral:tRNA from 1 species